UAAUUUUCUUUUGAUUCAGGAAUUGUGUGAAAAACUUCCAGAAGAGGAAAAAUUUACCCCAAGAAGUUUGGUUUCCAUGGUAAAAAACCUUGGAUGUCAGUUAGGAAUGGUGGUAGAUCUUACAUUCACGACAAAAUACUACAGUGCACGGGAUAUGGAACACCAGGGUAUCAGAUAUGAAAAGAUUUUUACAGAGGGCCAUAAUGUUCCGAGUGAUGAUGUAGUAUACAGGU